GUGGUAUAUUAGCUAAUUCUGUGUGCUGCAAUUUUGUUAGGUCGAUUCGUUGAUUUAUAAUAGGAGAGCAUAUGAUUGGUGUAAUAUAUGCU
rnacentral:pre_miRNA from 1 species